rnacentral:rRNA from 1 species
UGGGGAAUUUUCCGCAAUGGGCGAAAGCCUGACGGAGCAACGCCGCGUGAGGGACGAAGGCCUCUGGGCUGUAAACCUCUUUUCUCAAGGAAGAAGAUAUGACGGUACUUGAGGAAUAAGCCACGGCUAAUUCCGUGCCAGCAGCCGCGGUAAUACGGGAGUGGCAAGCGUUAUCCGGAAUUAUUGGGCGUAAAGCGUCCGCAGGCGGCUUUUCAAGUCUGCUGUUAAAGCGUGGAGCUUAACUCCAUCAUGGCAGUGGAAACUGAAAGGCUUGAGUAUGGUAGGGGCAGAGGGAAUUCCCGGUGUAGCGGUGAAAUGCGUAGAUAUCGGGAAGAACACCAGUGGCGAAGGCGCUCUGCUGGGCCAUUACUGACGCUCAUGGACGAAAGCCAGGGGAGCGAAAGGGAUUAGAUACCCCUGUAGUCA